rnacentral:rRNA from 6 species
CAACAACGGAUCUCUUGGCUCUCGCAUCGAUGAAGAACGCAGCGAAAUGCGAUAAGUAAUGUGAAUUGCAGAAUUCAGUGAAUCAUCGAAUCUUUGAACGCACCUUGCGCUCCUUGGUAUUCCGAGGAGCAUGCCUGUUUGAGUGUCAU